ACUGCUGUCUACUUAAUAGAAGAGUUUUAUAAACAAUAGGUCUUGUUCUCUCUGUGUAGCUGAAGAUCAGCUUCGUGCAAAGGGUUAUGACAAAACACCAGACUUUAUUUUAGAAGUGCCAGUAGCUGUUGAAGGACACAUAAUUCACUGGAUUGAAAGCAAAGCCUCAUUUGGUGAUGAAAGUAGCCACCAAGCCUACUUGCAGGACCAGUUUUGGAGCUACUGGAAUAGAAGAUAUCAGAGCUUUGACAGAACUUGCGCCUUGUGGCAAGAAGUCUGUUUUGGGAGGAAUGAGGACAGUCUAGUUCUGCUUGAGGAAAUGGAAGAAUAUUUCCUUCUAUAGUGGAUUAAUUCUGCUGUUUAUUUAUUUAAAAAAAAAAAAAAGAACUUAAAAACAAGCCUAAAAAAAAAGCCAAGAUAGUCUUUAUAACUGUAUCUAGACUAAAUUGAAUAAUUUUUUGUAGCAACUUAAAUUCAAUAAUUUUAUUCAUCAAUAAAAUUGAAUCUAUAUACAUUUGUAAAAAGGAAAAAGCUGAGUAAACUCUGAGAAGUAUUAAAUAGAUACGUCAAAAUUUUGCAUCUAAUGUGACUGUUUUCCAUUACUAGACAUUUGAAUACUUGCCAUGUUUCUGUAUUGCUGUGUAAUUAUAUCUUUUUCAUAAAUAUUGUCACAAUAUAAUGUUGUAUAUAUAAUAUAAUAUAAUAUAAUAUAGGUCUACUGUUACUAUAUUCUAAAAUUUGGUGUGAAAUCAGUGCAGAAAAUGUUCAAAUAAAGCUUCACUUCUUUCUCUUUUUUUUUUCAUUUAGAGAUAUGCAGGAAUUAGUACAAAUAUGUUUUUUUAAUUUCUCUCUUAAUCUGACAAUACGGCCAAUAACUAUCUCAGUGGCUGCAUUUGGUAAAUGUAGAAAGAAGUGCAAAACAGAAUCACUUAUACUAAAACUGUGAGUAAAUCUGUUUGUAUCAAUUAUAUUUCUAUUUCAGCAGGUAAUGCCACAAAUUUAGGGAAUGUUUAUGUUGUAAUUCUGCAUUUGCCUGAAUAUUGAGCAUUCUGCAAAUAUUAAAUCAUUUCCAUCUACUCUGUCCAUCUCUUAAAAUUAAUGAAAUUUCAGUCAAUAAUAAAAGAUUAUAGAUAUAAUGGCUACUUUUUUUUUUAAGUUCAGAGCCAAUAAGAAAAUGUUUUUGCAGAAGUACAAUACCAUAAUCUUAGAUGCAGAGCUCCCUUAUAUGAAGAAAUAUGUUUAAUACCUUUUAUUCUGUGAAAUGCCAACUGAAUCUCUGCAACAUUUACUUUAAUUUAUUACGAGAAAACAGUCAUUGCCUGUGUCAUUAGCAGGUAUAAAUAAAUGAUGAUAAAUUUGGAACACUUUGUAGGUUGAAAUAUAAGUAGCUCUACACAAAGGAGCAAACAUGAUAAAGUUAUAUAUGUAUAUGUUUGUAAUGCUUUUAUGUUUUCACUAACAAUUGUAACUGCAAAAUAAAUUCAAAUUAUGUGAA